UGCCCUCUCUCUUAUUGAAUCGCUUUUUUAAUUUCUUAUGAUCCCAAAUUAAAAAUCAUUUUUCGAUAAUAACCAGAUCUGUUCCUCUUGUAAUCUACCCAAUAAACACAGGAUAGACAUUUUGGAAUUUCUAAAUCCCCAAAUCUCUUAGCACCUCGAUGGAGCAACCCCAAGCUAUCGACGUUGAUGGGUAUCAAUUUCGUGAUGCCGCCGCUGGCCUGCAGCAUAGGGAUACUCC
rnacentral:lncRNA from 1 species